rnacentral:rRNA from 1 species
CUCGGUGGCAAUAGCGAGGAGGAAACACCCGUUCCCAUCCCGAACACGGAAGUUAAGCUCCUCAGCGCCGAUGGUACUGCGCGGGGGGCCGCGUGGGAGAGUAGGUCGUCGCCGAGA